GCGAACAGAGGGGGUUCGGUUAGGGGUGGGAAGUUGGCGGCCAGAACAUGGCGGAACAGAUCCCUCUGUACCCGGUGCGCAGCGCGGCGGCCGCGGCCAACUGCAAACGCGCGACCUACUUCAGCGCGGCGGGGCCCGGGCCGGGGGCCGAGCGGUCCAGCAGGUACCAGCUGGAAGAUGAGUCUGCCCAUUUGGAUGAAAUGCCACUAAUGAUGUCUGAAGAAGGCUUUGAGAAUGACGAAAGUGAUUACCACAAAUUACCACGAGCUAGGAUCAUGCGAAGAAAGAGAGGCCUAGAGUGGUUUGUCUGUGGAGGAUGGAAGUUCCUCUGUACCAGUUGCUGUGAUUGGCUGAUAAAUAUUUGUCAGAGAAAGAGAGAAUUGAAAGCUCGUACAGUGUGGCUUGGAUAUCCGGAAAAGUGUGAAGAAAAACAUCCCAGAAAUUCUAUAAAAAAUCAGAAAUACAAUGUAUUUACCUUUAUACCUGGGGUUUUAUAUGAACAAUUCAAGUUUUUCUUGAAUCUCUAUUUUCUGGUAGUAUCCUGCUCACAGUUUGUACCAGCGUUGAAAAUAGGCUAUCUCUACACCUACUGGGCUCCUCUGGGGUUUGUCUUGGCUGUUACUAUCAUGAGGGAAGCAAUUGAUGAAUUUCGACGUUUUCAGCGAGACAAGGAAGUGAAUUCACAACUAUACAGCAAGCUUACAGUAAGAGGUAAAGUGCAAGUUAAGAGCUCAGACAUACAAGUUGGAGACCUCAUCAUAGUGGAAAAGAAUCAAAGAAUUCCAUCGGACAUGGUAUUUCUUAGGACAUCAGAAAAAGCAGGUUCGUGUUUUAUUCGAACUGAUCAACUCGAUGGUGAAACUGACUGGAAGCUGAAAGUGGCGGUGAGCUGCACACAGAGGCUGCCGGCUCUGGGGGACCUUUUUUCUAUCAAUGCUUAUGUUUAUGCUCAGAAGCCACAACAGGAUAUUCAUAGUUUUGAAGGCACAUUUACCAGGGAAGAUAGUGAUCCACCCAUUCAUGAAAGCCUCAGCAUAGAAAAUACCUUGUGGGCAAGCACUGUUGUUGCAUCAGGUCUGAAGUGGGUGUCUUGCAGACAGCAUAUAGAUGGCUCUUGGUUUUGUAUGCAUUCAGCGAGCCUGUGUCUUCUGGUUGGAGCAUUUAAUCCAUUCACGUUUAAGGUUGGUUUGCUGGACCUUGAGCUCAAUCAGCUGACCAAAGCGCUGUUUUUGGCGUUGGUUGCCCUCUCGGUUGUCAUGGUGACCUUGCAGGGAUUCUCAGGUCCCUGGUACCGCAGUCUCUUCCGCUUUCUCCUGCUCUUCUCCUACAUCAUUCCCAUAAGUUUGCGUGUGAACCUGGACAUGGGAAAAGCCGCCUACGGGUGGAUGAUUAUGAAAGAUGAGAAUAUUCCCGGCACAGUGGUCCGGACCAGCACCAUCCCGGAGGAGCUGGGGCGCCUGGUGUACCUGCUGACCGACAAGACAGGAACCCUCACCCGGAACGAGAUGGUAUUUAAGCGGCUGCAUCUGGGCACCGUGUCUUACGGGACGGACACGAUGGAUGAGAUCCAGAACCAGCUCAUGAAUUCCUACUCACAGGUGCAGUCUCAGGGCGGUGGAAACAACGCCAGUUCAACACCCCCAAGAAAAGCCCAGUCCUCAGCGCCCAAGGUCAGGAAAAGCGUGAGCAGCCGGGUCCACGAGGCCGUGAAGGCUGUCGCCCUGUGUCACAACGUGACCCCCGUGUACGAGGCCCGCGGCGCGGCCGGGGAGACCGAGUUCGCCGAGGCCGACCAGGAUUUCAGCGACGACAACCGCACCUACCAGGCCUCCAGCCCCGAUGAGGUGGCCCUGGUGCAGUGGACGGAGAGCGUCGGCCUCACCCUGGUCAACAGAGACCUCACGUCCAUGCAGCUGAGGACCCCCAGCGGCCAGAUCCUGACCUACUGCAUCCUGCAGACCUUCCCCUUCACCUCGGAGAGCAAGCGGAUGGGGGUCAUCGUCAGGGACGAGUCCACGGCAGAGAUCACGUUCUAUAUGAAAGGUGCCGACGUUGCCAUGUCCACCGUCGUCCAGUAUAAUGAUUGGCUGGAGGAGGAGUGCGGCAACAUGGCCCGCGAAGGCCUGCGCACCCUCGUGGUGGCCAAGAGGGCGCUGACGGAGGAGCAGUACCAGGACUUCGAGAACCGCUACAACCAGGCCAAGCUGAGCGUCCACGACAGGACGCUCAAGGUGGCCGCCGUGGUGGAGAGCCUGGAGCGGGAGAUGGAGCUGCUGUGCCUGACGGGGGUGGAGGACCAGCUGCAGGCGGACGUGAGGCCCACGCUGGAGAUGCUGCGCAACGCGGGCCUCAAGAUAUGGAUGCUGACGGGUGAUAAACUGGAGACGGCCACGUGCAUCGCCAAGAGUUCUCACCUGGUGUCUCGAACGCAGGACACGCAUGUUUUCAGGCCGGUAACCAGUCGGGGAGAAGCCCAUUUGGAGCUGAAUGCCUUUCGAAGGAAGCAUGACUGUGCACUGGUCAUAUCCGGGGACUCCUUGGAGGUCUGCCUGAAGUACUACGAGCGCGAGUUCGCAGAGCUGGCCUGCCAGUGCCCGGCCGUGGUCUGCUGCCGCUGCGCUCCCACCCAGAAGGCCCGCAUCGUCAAGCUGCUGCGGCAGCACACGGGCCGGCGCACGUGUGCCGUCGGUGACGGAGGGAACGACGUGAGCAUGAUCCAGGCAGCGGACUGCGGGAUCGGGAUCGAGGGGAAGGAGGGCCGGCAGGCCUCGCUGGCGGCCGACUUCUCCGUCCCGCAGUUCAGGCACACCGGCCGCCUGCUCACGGUGCACGGGCGCAGCAGCUACAAGCGGUCGGCGGCGCUCAGCCAGUUCGUCAUGCACCGCGGCCUCAUCAUCUCCACGAUGCAGGCCGUGUUUUCCUCCGUCUUCUACUUUGCCUCCGUCCCCCUGUACCAGGGAUUCCUCAUGGUGGGGUAUGCGACGGUCUACACCAUGUUCCCUGUCUUCUCCCUGGUGCUGGACCAAGACGUGAAGCCCGAGAUGGCAAUGCUGUACCCAGAGCUGUACAAAGACCUCACCAAGGGAAGAUCCUUAUCCUGUAAGACCUUCCUCGUCUGGGUUUUAAUCAGUAUUUACCAAGGCGGCAUCCUCAUGUCCGGGGCCCUGGUGCUUUUCGAGUCCGAGUUUGUGCACGUGGUGGCCAUCUCCUUCACGGCGCUCGUCCUCACGGAGCUGCUGAUGGUGGCCCUGACCGUCAGGACGUGGCACUGGCUGAUGGCGGUCGCUGAGCUGCUCAGCCUCGGCUGCUACGUGGCCUCGCUCGCUUUUCUAAAUAAAUAUUUUGGUUGCAGAUCGUAAUAAAACCCACAUCAGACAGCUUCACAACACAGAGCUUAUUUUUGCGGGAAGAUUAAACCCCUUGCAACAAUACAUGAAGUCGUGCCGAGUUCUCCCCACAAGAGCUGUAUUGUUUGUCCCUUUUCCUGACGGAGGCCGCUGAGGCUGCAGGGAAGAGGGCUUCCAGGAUGGGGCCCGGCGCCGCCCGCCCGCCCUCCUCCCCCGGAGCCACGGGGCCCAGCUGCCUCGGUCCCGAGCGGCGUCAGAACCUGCAGGCGGCACGUGGCCCGGCUCGCCCGCCGCCGUCACCAGCAGGGCCCUGAGGAGGGGGGCUGCGUGCUGGCGGUGAGCGCUGACUGGAGUGGGGGGGGAGGGGGGUCACCCGACGUGGCGCCGGGGGAGGGCUGAGCUGCCCUGGGCGCGCUCGCACGGCCGUCCCCCGUCCCUCUGCAAGACUUCGCUUCCCGUCCCCGGCCGGCGCGCUGAUCUCGCCUCACCUGACGCGCCUUGUCAAACCCAGCUCUGCACUCGCCACUGUCGGAAAAUCCAUCUAAGGCAGAGCCCUGACCCUUGAAGUCAAAAGUCGGCAUCUACUUCCUGUUCCUAACGCCAGCGACUUGGGACAAGCAGACUUCACUGGGAUGAAAGAUGAGAGCCUCAUACUUCUGUGAAGUGGAGGAGAGCAACGGGCCAUAAAGUUACUUUUGGUGAAAAGCGAUGGUAACAUCGCUUUUCACGUAUUGUGAAAACAUCUCCAUCCUUCACACCAGAACUACAAAUUACAAAAUGAAUGUUUCGGCAAGUUUCAACGGCGGGAAUUUAUGAAUUUUGUGCCUCUUCCAUAACUUUGACGUAUCAUAGAUGGUAGAGAAGUAAAAAGAAUUCCAUCGUAAAAGCAGAAGUUGGGUGAAUUCACAUUCAAGUAUCUACUCAAUGCUCCUUCUCCCAGCACAGAGGAGAAGCAGAAGCUACAGCUGGGACAGCACAGAACACAAAGGAGGAGCUACAGCUGGGACACCAGCAGCAGGGCCGCACAGGCAGGGUGUCUCGUGGAGCUCUCUCGGGUCGUUGACGCUACCGCAUCCUUCAAGACUGCAGAAACUUAGCAGAACGCCGUCACUCCAGAGCCUCGACUGAUAAGAGCCCCGCCUCUCCUCUUCGUGGCGUUUGCUGUGGGCUCCUCGCACCUGGCGACAGCGCGGGAGGCCCUGGGCCCCGUCGGGGCUCUGCGGCUCAUCAGAGGGGACGGUGCUGGGCGUCCUGCGUCCGCCGAUGAGCACCCGUGGCCGUCAGGCGACCGUGCGUCGUCCCCGCAACAUUUUGCCGUUAUUGUGUAGUGAUUGGACCCCUGGAAAACACUUCCCGGGUUUUUUACAAUGUGCUUAAACACAGCCUGGGACCCCGUGUGCCCUGCACGCAGACCCGGGGUUUCCCUGCACUUUCCUGGGCCUCAGCGUCCAUGAGCCUCCCAGGCUGUCUCGUCUCACUUCCGACGACAGUCUCCAGGGAUGGCUGUCGUAGGAUCGGCCGCCCGUCGGGUUCUCACACGGCUCUUCACCCGCAAGGAUUAGAACAGCCGCUGACCCUGGGAACAGAGAUGUCGCCUUCAUCACGACUGUGACCUUCGUGUGGAAAGUGUCGGCGAUCACGGUGGUCAGCUGCCUUCCCC